rnacentral:rRNA from 1 species
CGCUCCCUCUGGCGGCAGGCCUAACACAUGCAAGUCGAACGAACCUUUCGGGGUUAGUGGCGGACGGGUGAGUAACACGUGGGAACGUGCCUUUAGGUUCGGAAUAACUCAGGGAAACUUGUGCUAAUACCGAAUGUGCCCUUCGGGGGAAAGAUUUAUCGCCUUUAGAGCGGCCCGCGUCUGAUUAGCUAGUUGGUUGAGGUAAUGGCUCACCAAGGCGACGAUCAGUAGCUGGUCUGAGAGGAUGAUCAGCCACAUUGGGACUGAGACACGGCCCAAACUCCUACGGGAGGCAGCAGUGGGGAAUCUUGCGCAAUGGGCGAAAGCCUGACGCAGCCAUGCCGCGUGAAUGAUGAAGGUCUUAGGAUUGUAAAAUUCUUUCACCGGGGACGAUAAUGACGGUACCCGGAGAAGAAGCCCCGGCUAACUUCGUG